rnacentral:sRNA from 2 species
GCAAAGUGAAGACGGGGGGGACCGGGUCAUGCAUAAGCACACAGGCUUGCGUAUCCCUAUUUCGCUUGGAUUUUGCUACAAGAAGCAUUGAUCCCCAGAAGCAUAAGCUGCUCACAUCUCAAAGGUUGGCGUCGGCGGCCUCAUAGCGAGGGAGCAAACACUUAUUUUCGAGGACACCCACGGAGUUCAAAAUCUAAAACCAGAUUCAACUGCUCAAUAUGUUGGGACAUGGCAUCUUUCAAUACCAUUCCUGUGACAAAUUUUGAUAUGAGUUAUUCAUGGUUUUGCUCAGAGGCUAGCUGUAUCGAUAAAGCCAUCGACUCGUUGUUGGAUCUGAAUAUUUCUUGAUGCCCGAUCUACUACAGAUUACAAGUUCGUCUUCUCUGGAAGUAUGAUAGAGAAAGA